ensembl:lncRNA
AUUUUAUUUUUAAUAGUGCACUAAAAUACAAAAGUGGCAGUUUGUGGAUUCCUUACCAAUGUAUAAAUGAUUGUCUGUUUUAGGAGAAACAUCUGAGCCUACAUUGAUAAUUGAAUAACUGAGAUCUCCAUUAAGUCUUCUGAGGUAAGAAAUGGGGCUGGGUUUUUAUGCAAUUUCGAUUACAUUAUUAAAUUACAAUUUGAUUCAAUCUUGAUUAUUUUGGAUACAUAUCAUUAUCAUUGGAUACAGUUCAUGGCUAAUUUUCUCAACAUAUGAUUUUUUUUUUUUUUCUGAGGUAAAUGUGACGGUACGUGACAUUGUUUACAAGCUGUUAUGUUGACAUCUUUGCAUGGUUAAAACACUGAUUGAUCGAUUACAUGAGACGGGAUACAGAUUUUGCAGCAGGUCAAACGCAGGGUCGUCCCGUGGCACCAAGCAUCCCGAAGCACUGGCUGGAGAUCUCAGAGCCGUCACUCCUCAGGGAGUUCAGGUUGCAGCGCAUACCGGCCUGACAGGAGAGGAGAGGAGGAGAAGGGUGAGAGGAGAUCUCCUUUGGGACCAAUCACACGCUUUCUCUUCCUCUCCAGCUCCCGCUCUUCUCCUCAACCCUCAGGGGUGAUCCUGGGAUCAAGAUGAGCAAUUGAGUAGUUUGAACCUUCACCAGGAAUGAUUAUUUUAUUUUAUUUUAUUAUUUUUAUUUUAGGUAAAUAAAUGUAUUUAUUUUAUUUUUAUUUGUUUAGUAAUUGUGUAGUUGGACACCAGCAAGUCUGAACCGAAAAGGUUUUUUAGAAAACUAACAGAAAGCAGUGGUUUGGUUUAUUCAGUUUAUAAUUGGUCUGAAAGCAGUGUAGACUGUCCUGCACGAGUGAGCAGUUAUUUAUGAUUUCUAGUAUGAUGCAUUUCUUAUUGCUGCUUAUCUCCACAGAAAUGGCCUUUGUUGUCUGUGUUCUAGAUACAGUGGUAAGCAGCUAUUAAUAGUACUCACAGUGCUACUCAAAUUAUAGUUAUAAAAGAUGUCUGAUGGGGCUGAUCAGACAUUUAUUUUAUUUUUCAUGUUGUUAAAUUAAAUUCAAUUAAAUUACAUUUAAUUUAAUUUAAUUACAUUUAAUUUAAUUUUUAUGUAAUUGAGUAUGUUAAACCUUUCACAGAUAUAUGUAUAUUUUAUUUUUUCACAUAAUUUUUAAAGCUUGAACCUUCCAUACUAAUUAAUUAAUUUAUUUUAUUUAUUUGUUUGUUUGUUUUGUUGAGGUAACAGAGUGCUUUGAAUCUUGCACAUGUAUUCUUUUUAUUUUUUUUUUUUUUGAGGGAAUUUGAGUAGUUUGAACCUUCAGCAUGAAUUAUUAUUAUUAUUAUUAUUAUUGAAGGUAAUUGAGUAGUUUAAACCUUCCACAUUAUUUAUUUAUUAUUCAUUCAUUCAUUCAUUCAUUCAUUCAUUUAUUGAGUAAGUUGAGCAACAACAAGUGAUGUACUGUAUAAUGCUGUGUAGUAUAAUAAACGAUAAGACACUUGUUCUUUGCUUUGUUUUAUUUUAUAUAAAAAGGUGUAACAUUAAAAUAUAUAAGUGCACAUAAACACACACAAAACUCAAGUACAUACAGAGGAAGGGGUUCUAGCAGACCAAUCACAGCGCGUGCUGUCUGCGUAGAAUUGAGUAGUUUGAACCUUCAGCAUGUUAGAUUUUUGGAGAGGUGCACGUCGGGCUACAGCAUAGGCUACGCGUGCUAUGCACAACCUACGACGUAGCUACAGCGUAGGUUUGACGCAGAAGUAUAAAUUGGGCCUUACUGUAAGACAGAUGUUGACUCAUCUGGCUCUUUUCACUCUCAUAAGGUAUUUUAUCAUUAAGCUGCAGUGACUGAGAUCUAGUCAGAGUCUCCUGAUGAGAAUUCCUGCGUCACGAGUGACUGUCAUUUAUCUCCUCUCGUCUCGUGUUUGUUUCUCACUGUGGUUUGCGUUUAGUGCUUUUGGCAGCGGAUCCAAAGCCGUCGCUCCCUGAGCACGGCCGUGCCGGCCAUUAAGAGUAAUUUGUCUGGUAUCCCUAAACUGCAAACUCACGAGAGAGAGAGAGAGAGAGAGAGGGAGAGAGAGGGAGAGAGAGAGAGGCAUUCCUCUGGUUGUCAUGUGGAGAUGUUGGGCCCCAUGCGGCUGUGUGUGUGUGUGUGUGUGUGUGUGUGUGUGUGUGUCAGACAGCGACACUGAGGCUCGCUGGGAGCUCCCGCAGGACCCGCUCUGUGUUUGUGUGUGUUUUAAGGGGGAGGGCAGCAACCUGAGAGGGACGUCCCGCUCCGGCCGGCGGGAUCAAGCGCUCCUACGGCCAGCCAGGCACCAGCGAUCCUGAGGGAUUUCCACAGCCUCGCGCUCGCUCCUCUCCAUCAGUCACCUCUGUGUCUCAGAGGGAAACAUGUUUCUCACAGGCUGCUGUUUCAUGCCUGCGAGACUUCAUGGAGUCCUGUGUCAGUUCAGUGUCAGUUUUGUCUCAUGUGUUUCUCAUCGAAUGCUGGAGGAGAAAUAAAAACAGACCCAG